rnacentral:rRNA from 1 species
GAUGAACGCUAGCGGGAGGCUUAACACAUGCAAGCCGAGGGGUAUAGUUCUUUCGGGAACUAGAGACCGGCGCACGGGUGCGUAACGCGUAUGCAACUUGCCCUACUGAAAAGGAUAGCCCUUCGAAAGGAGGAUUAAUACUUUAUAACAGAUUUAAUGGCAUCAUUAGAUUUUGAAAGAUUUAUCGCAGUAGGAUAGGCAUGCGUAAGAUUAGUUAGUUGGUGAGGUAACGGCUCACCAAGACGAUGAUCUUUAGGGGGCCUGAGAGGGUGAACCCCCACACUGGUACUGAGACACGGACCAGACUCCUACGGGAGGCAGCAGUGAGGAAUAUUGGACAAUGGGUGGAAGCCUGAUCCAGCCAUCCCGCGUGUAGGAUGACGGCCAUAUGGGUUGUAAACUACUUUUAUCUGGGGAUAAACCUACUUACGUGUAAGUAGCUGAAGGUACCAGAAGAAUAAGCACCGGCUAACUCCGUG